rnacentral:pre_miRNA from 1 species
ACGCCGAUUGCGGCUCAUCGUAAGGCAGUUUGCUUGCGUGGUCCGCCAGCUGCCUAGCGAAGGGCAACAAGCGGUUA